AGUCAUUUUCAAAACCCUGCCUUUUCCUUUUUCACAUGUGAAACAAAGAUAUUCUCUAUACAUAUAUAAAGAUGGUAACAAAACAAAUUGGAGAAUGCCUUUGAAAAUAUUGAUAGGAAGAAAGUCCCACAUACACCAAAAUAUUUAUAAUGGAACUUUUGAUGAUAGUAGAAAAUUGGAAACAGAAUAUAUGCUCAUCAGUUGGGGAAUGGGUAAACAAAUUGUGCCAUAUUAAUAUAAUGGCAUGUUAUUGCUCCAUAAGAAAUGAUAAAUGAUAUGAAUAAGGACAGGAAUGAAAAGAACUGACACAAAGUGAAAGAAAUAGAGCCAAGAAAAUAACAAAUGCAAUGACUACAGCAAUGUAAAUGAAAGGACAGCCAUAAAAAAAUCAAUGGGAAUGUUGCCCUUUUGCACAUUAUUUUCAGACUUUUUCUUUGUAUUGAUUAGUUCUGUUGAUUUUUUUCCUCUUUUUUAUUUUGGCUUUUAAAAAAUACCAAUUGUGAAAUGGGAAGGCUUUGGAGGAGAGGAGUACCAGAUGAAAUUGUGACAUUUCAGAUAUUUUAAAAAAUAAUAAAACAUUUUAAAAUGAAAUAAAAAAAUUUUAAUAUGCUAUUAGUACUCUGUGAGACAAUUUCAGCUUCAUUUAAGUGAGUGUAAGAAAUCAGAUUGUAAAGGUUUUAGAGCUGAGGUUUUAGAGGCAGCGAUUGGUAGUAAAAAAGGUAGAAAAAUAUCAAAUAAUGACUUAGAAGAUAGAGUGCAAUGAAAGAUUUUUUGCUCUUCAAUUUUGUCUUUUAGAAUGAGAAGUCCUCAACAUCAAAUGGAGCAUCAGAAAGGCCAAGUGAAGUAGUUGGCCCUUUUAAGGAGAAAGUCUAUUCUGUAGAGAAUAAAGAAAAGGAAAAGAGAAUGGAGGAUGAUUUAGAGGAUUUAAAACAGGUGAAAACACAGCCCAUACUUGGAUAUGAAAGUUCUCUGGCACAGUCUCAGGCAUGUAGUAUAUCACCAAUCUGGCUUCUAGACACUAGAGAAGGAUCUUUACUAUCUUUGCAGUGAUGAUGACAAGAUGGAGAGCUUGGACUAUAAGUUUUCUGUUGGAGUUACUAUUUAGUUUUUAAAUAUAUAAUAC
rnacentral:lncRNA from 1 species